rnacentral:rRNA from 1 species
UACGGGGGGAGCAAGCGUUGUUCGGAUUUACUGGGCGUAAAGGGCGCGUAGGCGGCCAGCACAAGUCAGUUGUGAAAUCCCCGGGCUUAACCUGGGAACUGCGCUUGUUACUGGCAGGCUUGAGUGUGGCAGAGGGGGGUGGAAUUCCACGUGUAGCAGUGAAAUGCGUAGAGAUGUGGAGGAACACCGAUGGCGAAGGCAGCCCCCUGGGCUAACACUGACGCUCAUGCACGAAAGCGUGGGGAGCAAACAGG